rnacentral:rRNA from 1 species
UACAGAGGUCUCAAGCGUUGUUCGGAUUCAUUGGGCGUAAAGGGUGCGUAGGUGGCGGGGUAAGUCAGGUGUGAAAUCUCGGGGCUCAACCCCGAAACUGCACUUGAUACUGCCUUGCUCGAGUACUGGAGAGGAGAUUGGAAUUUACGGUGUAGCAGUGAAAUGCGUAGAUAUCGUAAGGAAGACCAGUGGCGAAGGCGAAUCUCUGGACAGUUACUGACACUGAGGCACGAAGGCCAGGGGAGGCAAACGGG